AGAGUUUGAUCAUGGCUCAGGAUGAACGCUAGCGACAGGCCUAACACAUGCAAGUCGAGGGGCAUCGGGACGUAGCAAUACGUUGCCGGCGACCGGCGGAUGGGUGAGUAACGCGUAUGCAACCUACCCGUAGCAGGGGGAUAGCCCGUUGAAAGACGGAUUAAUACCCCGUAACACAGGGGCUCCGCAUGGAGAUUAUUGUUAAAGGGUCAUUUCUUUUUCAGGGAUGGUCCGGCUGCGGAUGGGCAUGCGUUCCAUUAGGUAGUUGGUGUAGGUAACGGCUCACCAAGCCGACGAUGGAUAGGGGAACUGAGAGGUUGGUCCCCCACACUGGUACUGAGGCACGGACCAGACUCCUACGGGAGGCAGCAGUGAGGAAUCUUGGUCAAUGGACGCAAGUCUGAACCAGCCAUGUCGCGUGAAGGAGGACGGCCCUAAGGGUUGUAAACUUCUUUUGCAGUGGAAUAAAGUUUGCCACGUGUUGGCGAUUUGCAAGUACGCUGCGAAUAAGGAUCGGCUAACUCCGUGCCAGCAGCCGCGGUAAUACGGAGGAUCCAGGCGUUAUCCGGAUUUAUUGGGUUUAAAGGGUGCGCAGGCGGGGAAUUAGGUCGGCGGUGAAAUUUCGGGGCUCAACCUCGACAGUGCCGUUGAAACCGUUUCUCUUGAGUGCGGAUGAGGUAGGCGGAAUUUGUGGUGUAGCGGUGAAAUGCGUAGAUAUCACAAGGAACACCGAUUGCGGAGGCAGCUUACUAAACCGUUACUGACGCUCAUGCACGAAGGCGUGGGGAUCAAACAGGAUUAGAUACCCUGUAGUCCACGCAGUAAACGAUGAUUACUUGCUGUUUGCGAUACACAGUAAGCGGCGAAGCGAAAGCGUUAAGUAAUCCACCUGGGG
rnacentral:rRNA from 1 species